GCCCCCGUAGCUCAGUGGAUAGAGCAAUAGAUUCCUAAUCUAUGUGCCGCAGGUCCGAUUCCUGCCGGGGGCACCA
rnacentral:tRNA from 1 species